ACGUAGGGAGCAAACGUUGUCCGGAUUUAUUGGGCGUAAAGGGCUCGUAGGCGGUUCAACAAGUUGGUCGUGAAAACCCGGAGCUCAACUCCGGGACGCCGAUCAAAACUGUUGUGACUAGAGUUCGGUAGAGGUGAGUGGAAUUCUCGGUGUAGCGGUGGAAUGCGCAGAUAUCGAGAGGAACACCAUUAGCGAAGGCGGCUCACUGGGCCGAUACUGACGCUGAGGAGCGAAAGCGUGGGGAGCAAACAGG
rnacentral:rRNA from 1 species